rnacentral:rRNA from 1 species
CCUACGGGAGGCAGCAGUGAGGAAUAUUGGUCAAUGGGCGCGAGCCUGAACCAGCCAAGUCGCGUGAGGGAAGACGGUCCUAUGGAUUGUAAAACUCUUUUGUCGGGGAGCAAAAGACGCCACGCGUGGCGUUCCGAGAGUACCCGAAGAAAAAGCAUCGGCUAACUCCGUGCCAGCAGCCGCGGUAAUACGGAGGAUGCGAGCGUUAUCCGGAUUUAUGGGGUUUAAAGGGUGCGCAGGCGGAAGAUGAAGUCAGCGGUAAAAUUGAGAGGCUCAACCUCUUCGAGCCGUUGAAACUGGUUUUCUUGAGUGAGCGAGAAGUAUGCGGAAGGCGUGGGGUAGCGGUGAAAUGCAUAGAUAUCACGCAGAACUCCGAUUGCGAAGGCAGCAUACCGGCGCUCAACUGACGCUCAUGCACGAAAGUGUGGGUAUCGAACAGGAUUAGAUACCCCGGUAGUC